rnacentral:tRNA from 1 species
GCCCCUGUGGCGCAAUCGGUAGCGCGUAAGACUUCUACUUGGUCAUCUUAAGGCUGUGGGUUCGAGCCCCACCAGGGGCU